GGGAGUGUCGCCUAAGGGAUGGGGCACCGAUCUUCUAAAUCGGUCUGUGUAGGUAGCUCCGUUGGAGCCGCUUCGCGCACGAGUCCUACCACUCCCG
rnacentral:tRNA from 1 species